ACUGAACGCUGGCGGCAGGCUUAACACAUGCAAGUCGAGCGGAGUGAUGGUGCUUGCACUAUCACUUAGCGGCGGACGGGUGAGUAAUGCUUAGGAAUCUGCCUAUUAGUGGGGGACAACAUCUCGAAAGGGAUGCUAAUACCGCAUACGUCCUACGGCAGAAAGCAGGGGAUCACUUGUGACCUUGCGCUAAUAGAUGAGCCUAAGUCGGAUUAGCUAGUUGGUGGGGUAAAGGCCUACCAAGGCGACGAUCUGUAGCGGGUCUGAGAGGAUGAUCCGCCACACUGGGACUGAGACACGGCCCAGACUCCUACGGGAGGCAGCAGUGGGGAAUAUUGGACAAUGGGGGGAACCCUGAUCCAGCCAUGCCGCGUGUGUGAAGAAGGCCUUAUGGUUGUAAAGCACUUUAAGCGAGGAGGAGGCUCUUUUGGUUAAUACCCAAGAUGAGUGGACGUUACUCGCAGAAUAAGCACCGGCUAACUCUGUGCCAGCCGCCGCCGUAA
rnacentral:rRNA from 1 species